rnacentral:rRNA from 1 species
GGGGGAGUAACAGCGGGAAACGCUGCUAAUACCGCAUGUCGUCAUCGGUCGCAUGGCCGGUGAAGAAAGCAGCAAUGCACGAUGGGGUGGGCCCGCGGCCUAUCAGCUAGUCGGUGGGGUAACGGCCUACCGAGGCGAUGACGGGUAGCUGGUCUGAGAGGACGACCAGCCACACGGGGACUGAGACACGGCCCCGACUCCUACGGGAGGCAGCAGUGAGGAAUCUUCCGCAAUGGGCGAAAGCCUGACGGAGCGACGCCGCGUGUGGGAUGAAGUCCUUCGGGAUGUAAACCACUGUUGGAGGGGAAGACAACUGACGGUACCCUCCGAGAAAGCCCCGGCUAACUACGUGCCA